rnacentral:SRP_RNA from 1 species
UGUCGGUCACCCCGCAGCGAUGAUUUGUGAACCCCGUCAGGCCCGGAAGGGAGCAGCGGCAGCAAUGAAAUCGGGUGCCGGGGAACGGCGGGCAGGG